GAUGAACGCUGGCGGCGUGCCUAAUACAUGCAAGUCGAGCGAACAGACGAGGAGCUUGCUCCUCUGACGUUAGCGACGGACGGGUGAGUAACACGUGGAUAACCUACCUAUAAGACUGGGAUAACUUCGGGAAACCGGAGCUAAUACCGGAUAAUAUAUUGAACCGCAUGGUUCAAUAGUGAAAGACGGUUUUGCUGUCACUUAUAGAUGGAUCCGCGCCGCAUUAGCUAGUUGGUAAGGUAACGGCUUACCAAGGCGACGAUGCGUAGCCGACCUGAGAGGGUGAUCGGCCACACUGGAACUGAGACACGGUCCAGACUCCUACGGGAGGCAGCAGUAGGGAAUCUUCCGCAAUGGGCGAAAGCCUGACGGAGCAACGCCGCGUGAGUGAUGAAGGUCUUCGGAUCGUAAAACUCUGUUAUUAGGGAAGAACAAAUGUGUAAGUAACUAUGCACGUCUUGACGGUACCUAAUCAGAAAGCCACGGCUAACUACGUG
rnacentral:rRNA from 1 species